AAUAGCCAAAAAUCUUGAUGGGAUUAAUCGUCGGGUUAGCAAUCAUUCGCACCUCGCCAGCAGCACCCGCCCAGGGGUCGAAUAGUCCGCCCCAAAACAUCGCUUUAAACACCAACAAAAAUGCACCGAUGCCGAGAAAAAUGAGGUGAAUACCAAUGAUGGUCGUCAUUUUAUCCCCAUCUUUCCA
rnacentral:antisense_RNA from 1 species